CUUACCUGCUUCCUUGGAGAUUACCCACCGCUUUUCUUUGUCCUGCUAACAUCCCUCUUCUCCAUCAGCAAUCUUCUGGAGGUGUUCCAUCUACUGUCUGUGUCUGCAGCACAUCUGAAGGUAGGGAUGGAGUGCUUCUACCACAUUUCUAAGACUGGCAUUCUGUUUCUCUUGAACCCAGACUGUGGCUUCAGGCAGUGACCUCUCUGAAAUGCUGCCUUUCCCAGGACAUGCUGCUCUGCAGGGGAAAGGUCUCUGGUCCAUCUUCUGCACAAGGGCAACGCCAUUCCUGGCAGGUGUCUGCCCUCCUGUCAUCGGUGGGGACCAUCAUUGAUAGAGGUUGCUGCUGGAAAUGUGAAGUCCCGUCAGUCUUGGCACAGACCACAGACCACUGCUUGAGCAUCCUUUCAGCCUAUGAGAUGAGUCUGUGGCACUGAGAGCUGCUCUCCAGCUAUGGUUUCCUGACACUUUUGCAACCACCCCAAAUAAUUUAAUCGACACAAUGCUUUCCCAAAUGUGAAAAGUUAAGAUAUGUGACUCCCUCUACCUUGUCAUGAAAAAAAAGACAUUUAGGUGGUCUGACAGAAAUCAAUAUUAUUAUAUCUGUUUGAUGGGUGCUGGCUCCUUGUUUUUUCCCAACCACUUACAAAACAGGAGUGUUCAAUAGGAAAUGCUAGAGCAGUCCUGGAAGAUGUGGCAGAGCCAAACUCACCUCCUGCUUAGGCUGAACUGAACCCUGACUUGCUCACAGUGGGGCUCCUUGGGGGUCACAUGCAGGAGCAACAGGAUGCCAGGCUUCUUGGGAAGCUAACAGGGGCAUGCUGGGUGCUCUGGGGUUUGCACAGCACUGAAGGUUUCUGUUCAGUCUGAUGGGUUCUGGGUGCCCAGGGCCACGGGUCUGGGGUCAGGCUCAGACCUUUUCUUGCACACAGCAGUCUUGUACUCCUAAGGGACUGCAACUGUUCACAAAAAAGGAGGGCAGACAUGGGCCUUGAGAGAGAAAAAAACCCCUUUAUGUCUGAAUAA
rnacentral:lncRNA from 1 species